CGGCACGGGUGAGUAACACGUAUCCAACCUGCCGUCUACUCUUGGACAGCCUUCUGAAAGGAAGAUUAAUACAAGAUGGCAUCAUGAGUCCGCAUGUUCACAUGAUUAAAGGUAUUCCGGUAGACGAUGGGGAUGCGUUCCAUUAGAUAGUAGGCGGGGUAACGGCCCACCUAGUCUUCGAUGGAUAGGGGUCCUGAGAGGAAGGUCCCCCACAUUGGAACUGAGACACGGUCCAA
rnacentral:rRNA from 1 species